rnacentral:rRNA from 1 species
GGCCUACCAUGGUGGUAACGGGUAACGGGGUGUUAGGGCACGACACCGGAGAGGGAGCCUGAGAAAUGGCUACCACAUCCAAGGAUGGCAGCAGGCGCGCAAAUUACCCAAUCCCGACACGGGGAGGUAGUGACAAUAAAUAACAAUACGGGGUUCUUUAGGAUCUCGUAAUUGGAAUGAGUACAAUUUAAAUCUCUUAACGAGGAACAAUUGGAGGGCAAGUCUGGUGCCAGCAGCCGCGGUAAUUCCAGCUCCAAUAGCGUAUAUUAAAGUUGUUGCAGUUAAAAAGCUCGUAGUUGAAUUUCGGGAUCAAUUUAUUGGUCGUGCUAUUGUACGUACUGGUAUUAUUGAUUCCUACCUUCUGACGAACCAUGAUGUCAUUAAUUUGGUGUCACGGGGAAUCAGGACUGUUACUUUGAAAAAAUUAGAGUGUUUAAAGCAGGCUCACGCUUGAAUACAUUAGCAUGGAAUAACGAAAUAGGACGUUUGAUUCUAUUUUGUUGGUUUCUAGGAUCGACGUAAUGAUUAAUAGGGAUAGUUGGGGGCAUUAGUAUUCAAUCGUCAGAGGUGAAAUUCUUGGAUUUAUUGAAGACUAACUACUGCGAAAGCAUUUGCCAAGGAUGUUUUCAUUAAUCAAGAACGAAAGUUAGGGGAUCGAAGACGAUCAGAUACCGUCGUAGUCUUAACCAUAAACUAUGCCGACUAGGGAUCGGAUGAUGUUAAUUUUUUAAUGACUCAUUCGGCGCCUUACG